AUUGAACGCUGGCGGCAGGCCUAACACAUGCAAGUCGACGUAAGUUGCGAACGGGUGAGUAACGCGUAGGUAACUACCUAUUAGAGGGGAAAACUAUUGGAAACGAUAGCUAAUACCGCAUACUAGUAGAUGGAUCUGCGUUGUAUUAGCUAGUAGGUAGGGUAAUGGCCUGCCUAGGCAACGAUACAGAGCCGACCUGAGAGGGGUAUCGGCCACACUUGGACUUAGACACGGCCCAGACUCCUACGGGAGGCAGCAGUAGGGAAUCUUCGGCAAUGGGGGGAACCCUGACCGAGCAACGCCGCGUGAGUGAAGAAGGUUUUCGGAUCGUAAAGCUCUGUUGUUAAGGAAGCGGUACUUAACCAGAAAGGGACGGCUAACUACGUGCCAGCAGCCGCGGUAAUAC
rnacentral:rRNA from 1 species